rnacentral:rRNA from 1 species
AUGACCGUGACGCUGCAGGAUAUCGCUAUGAUCACCGGUCUUCCUAUCGAUGGCAAUCCUUUAUGUAUGAACACCGAUUCUGAAGGGUGGCGCGCGCAGAUGCAAGCCCUUAUCGGUAUGGUUCCUCCGGAGCCUCGGGAGCCAGAAAGGGAAGAUAAGAAGAAGGAAAGAGUCGCAGCGGGCGCUACUUUCACGUGGAUAUCAUCGAACUUCGCUCAUUGCCCCGAUGAUGCUAAUGAGGACAUGGUGAAGACUUAUGCUCGUGUCUACAUGUGGUACGUGGUAUCGAGGACAAUGUUUGCUGAUGGCACAGGCAAGAAUGCUCCAUGGAUGUGGCUGAAGGCGUUGACCGUCUUCGAUAGCAAAUGGAGUUGGGGUUCGGCGACAUUAGCUUACUUGUAUCGACAGGUAUGA